CAAGCCGCAUGCCCUUCGCUGGGUGUGUCGGGGAACCAGGACCAUUACCUUGAAAAAAUUAGAGUGUUCAAAGCAGGCAUUUGCUCGAAUACAUUAGCAUGGAAUAAUGAAAUAGGACGCGUGGUACUAUUUUGUUGGUUUCUAGGACCGCCGUAAUGAUUAAUAGGGAUAGUUGGGGGCAUUAGUAUUCAAUUGUCAGAGGUGAAAUUCUUGGAUUUAUUGAAGACUAACUACUGCGAAAGCAUUUGCCAAGGAUGUUUUCAUUAAUCAAGAACGAAAGUUAGGGGAUCGAAGACGAUCAGAUACCGUCGUAGUCUUAACCAUAAACUAUGCCGACUA
rnacentral:rRNA from 1 species